GGUGCAUUUCAGGAGAACUGCUGGGAUGGACAGGUUGGACACCUACGUCAGAGACACAUACAUCUGUGGGAUGGAAUUCUUGCCAGCUCUACCUGCUUAUAAUCAGGGGACAGUGCAGGCUGCCCAUUCCCUGGUGGACUUGUGACAAUCACUGGAUCAGGGAUGGAUGGGCCCAGAGCUGAAGCCUUUGAAAGUUAAUGAUGCCGACUUAGGUACCCAGGCAAAAAACCAGAAAAGCUUAUUGACCUGUCACUUGUGAAGUUGGUAGAUGAAAAAUACCAGGCUGUUUUGGGAAGAUUGCAGUCCAAGAGGAAGUAUUAAAUCCUUCUUAAUAAUAGUAAUAUGUAUGAAAAA